rnacentral:rRNA from 1 species
CAAUAGCGUAUAUUUAAGUUGUUGCAGUUAAAAAGCUCGUAGUUGGAUUUCGGAUGGGCUUGACCGGUCCGCCGUUUGGUGUGCACUGGUCGUGCCUAUCUUGCUGCCGGGGACGCGCUCCUGGCCUUAAUUGGCUGGGACGCGGAGUCGGCGAUGUUACUUUGAAAAAAUUAGAGUGUUCAAAGCAGGCCUAAGCUCUGAAUACAUUAGCAUGGAAUAACGCUAUAGGACUCUGGUCUUAUUGCGUUGGUCUUCGAGACCGGAGUAUGAUUAAGAGGGACAGUUGGGGGCAUUCGUAUUUCAUUGUCAGAGGUGAAAUUCUUGGAUUUAUGAAAGACGAACUUCUGCGAANGNAUUUGGNAAGGAUGUUUNCAUUA